AUGGCUGCCCAGAACAACAAGGAGGUGGAUGCCCUGGUGGAGAAGAUCACCGGCCUCCACGCCGCCAUCGCCAAGCUGCCGUCGCUCAGCCCAUCCCCGGCCGUCGACGCGCUCUUCACCGAGCUGGUCACGGCCUGCGUUCCCCCUGUUAGAGUUAUAUUGAUGAUGUCUUUUGGUCUUUUGUAUUCUUGUUUUUUGGCAUCCUCUUAUAUAUGUAUAUAUGACUGCUUUUGCCUCCUAGUAAUACAAGUUGCAUAUUUCCCUAACAUGGUAUUAGAGCUAGGUCUUUUUUCCCGCACGCACAACUCGUGCUGA
rnacentral:rRNA from 1 species